rnacentral:rRNA from 1 species
UGGGGAAUUUUGCACAAUGGGCGCAAGCCUGAUGCAGCCAUGCCGCGUGUAUGAAGAAGGCCUUCGGGUUGUAAAGUACUUUCAGUCGGGAGGAAGGUGGUAAGGUUAAUAACCUUAUCAAUUGACGUUACCGACAGAAGAAGCACCGGCUAACUCCGUGCCAGCAGCCGCGGUAAUACGGAGGGUGCAAGCGUUAAUCGGAAUUACUGGGCGUAAAGCGCACGCAGGCGGUUGAUUGAGUCAGAUGUGAAAUCCCCGGGCUUAACCCGGGAAUUGCAUCUGAUACUGGUCAGCUAGAGUCUUGUAGAGGGGGGUAGAAUUCCAUGUGUAGCGGUGAAAUGCGUAGAGAUGUGGAGGAAUACCGGUGGCGAAGGCGGCCCCCUGGACAAAGACUGACGCUCAGGUGCGAAAGCGUGGGGAGCAAACAGG